GGGUCUAUCGUAUAACGGCAGAUUACCGCUGACUCUUACUCAGCAGAUCGGGGUUCGACUCCCCGUGGACCCAC
rnacentral:tRNA from 1 species